rnacentral:lncRNA from 1 species
CGACAGCAUUUAGUAAAGAGAAUUUACUUGCAGAGAGGAAAGGUUUUGAGCCUUCAUUGAUAAAAAAUAAGCUAUAUCUAUACAAAGUAUGGACUGUCUUAGUAAAGCUGUAGAUUUGUAUAUUGAAAAUCUGAUAUAAAAACUACUUCAGUUGUGUUGUUUUUUUAUGAAUUUAUUCUGAGCUAUGCAUUAUUUCCAUUAUUCAAAAUAUUUUGUUUAUACUUUGUUUAUGAAGGACUUCUACCAUGAAAUUACAACACUUCAGUUCAUCACCAUUUAGAACUGGUGAAGAACUGGUGGAGAUUUCUGACCUUGUUAAAAAUUAAGUGUUGUCAGUGUAAGUGUUUUGUCAUGCAAAUUACUGUUGAUGGGUUUUCAGAUGACAGUUGUGUAAUUUAUUACCGAAUUCUAAUACAUAGCUUCUGCUAAAUUUUUGGUAAAUUAGAGAAAUGGAAAAGGAAUACAAAAAUAUCCAAGGGCAUGCUUUCUUUAACAGUUAUGACAGAUUAUUCUUACAUAGGAUAGGAUUGGUUUGACUUCAAAUAUGAAAAUACCGUGUACAGUGUACAUGGAUACCAAGUAUCCAUAGAGAAUUCCAGCUACAUUGUCAUAAAAGUAGUUAUCGCUUUCAGAGACAUAAAAAUAUUUAGCACUAAUGUUUCAUAAUAUGAAUAUGUCACCUGACUAUCUAAUAUCUUCUUGCCAGAGACUCUAUGUGCCACUGACUCUUAGAAAUUAAUUCCUUUAGUGGAUAUACACAGGUAUGCUGCUGCACAAUGUGGAGAGGCUGCAACUACGAGGAUGCAUCAUUACACACAUGGGUGACAGAGAAAAGUAUUUGUAGAUUAUACAUGUAUAUGUAUGGGAACCAUUGAUCUCACCUUUUCGUAGACUGUGAGAGAAGAUCUUGACUGAAAUGGACGGGACAUGUCAUCAUUCUCCUUCACACUCAAGGGAAAAGACUCUCAAGGGUCUGAAUCAAUGAAAGAAACAUCUAGAGUCGGACAAUUGGAACUGAUGUGAUUUACAUAUGUGAAUGAAAAUGUCCAUCUUUGGAAAUUUUUCAGUAAGGUAUUUGAGAAUGUAUAAUUUAGCUAAGUAUCUAGCCACUAUAUCUGGAAUCAAUUAGUUACAUGUUGAUGCAAAAUACACUACAUAUUAAUAAACUGACAAAGGAAAGAUAAAGACUUAAGUUA